GCGAACAGCCCAGAAGAACAUCUCCAAGAGACGGAUUCCUGGACUCUGAGACAACAAUACUCUCAGUGCAAUGAAGCCAAGACAGUCUCCCUCGAUAAGGACGGACCUGACAUCAGAACCCCUUGGAAGCUGCAUUACAAGUUGCACUUUAAGGACCUGAGGGAAGGUCUUCUCAAGUUGAGAAGCUGUAAGAAAGUUCAGCUGACAAAGGAAGAAGCAGACUCCACAUCAGAAUGUUGCUUCUGUGAUGGGGGUGGGGGUCAAGGCCAACUGAGAAUAUUUAUAUAGUAUAAGAUGGCAGGGCAAAAGACAUUACUAUGUAAACCCGCAUUUAUAAAUAAACUCUCACGCACAGAUUUUGACCUGA